GAAAAUGAAAUUAAAACAAUGUUACAGGUCCAAAAGAAAUCAAACACACAAAGGAAAAUUAAAGGAAAGUAACAUGUGCCUUCUCAAAGGGUAAUUAGAAACAAAAGUGGUGAUUAAAAGUGGAGCCUUAUCAAUAACAAAAUUGAUUUCUCUUCCUUCUCAGUAAGAGAGGCGGUAGCAUCACAACACAACACAACAGGGGAUUGCAAGUUGAAAAGGUCUGACAAGCUUAAAAUCAAGUUGAUUAGGCGGUGAUACAAGAGACUUAAUGUUGAAGAGUUGCUGAGGCGGCUAAGCAAUUUCGAAGGAGUAUAAAUAGAGCUCUUUGGUGAAACAAUAAAAAAAUCAUGUUGUACAUAGAAAACAGUUUUGGAGAGGCAGAGAUUGAAGAACACAGAGGAGAAUACCAACAACAAUUGAAGUAUUUUUGGGUUAUUCUCUUCUCUUAAUU
rnacentral:lncRNA from 1 species